rnacentral:rRNA from 1 species
CCCAGACUCCUACGGGAGGCAGCAGUGGGGAAUAUUGGGCAAUGGGCGAAAGCCUGACCCAGCAACGCCGCGUGAAGGAAGAAGGCUUUCGGGUUGUAAACUUCUUUUGACAGGGAAGAGCAGAAGACGGUACCUGUCGAAUAAGCCACGGCUAACUACGUGCCAGCAGCCGCGGUAAUACGUAGGGGGCGAGCGUUAUCCGGAUUCACUGGGUGUAAAGGGAGCGUAGACGGCCAUGCAAGCCAGGGGUGAAAGCCCGGGGCCCAACCCCGGGACUGCCCUUGGAACUGCAUGGCUGGAGUGCGGGAGGGGCAGGCGGAAUUCCUGGUGGAGCGGUGAAAUGCGUAGAUAUCAGGAGGAACACCGGCGGCGAAGGCGGCCUGCUGGACUGCGACUGACGUUGAGGCCCGAAAGCGUGGGGAGCAAACAGGAUUAGAUACCCGAGUAGU